CAUUCGCCUGACCGAUCUGCUGGAAAGUUGGGGGCGAAUGUCAAAUCUACUCCACGAGGGGCAUCACACCGACAUCAUGGCCACGAAACCUCCCCCGCCGCGCCCCGCGCCACGGCUCUAUCUGGCGACGCCACUCGUUGCCGAUCCCGCGCAGCUUGCAUCCGAACUGCCCGCGUUGCUGGCGGCGGCCGAUGUGGCCGCGGUUUUGCUGCGGCUCACGAAGACCGAUGAGCGCGGCAUGAUCCAGCGCGUCAAGGCGCUG
rnacentral:misc_RNA from 1 species